UUAAAAAGCUCGUAGUUGGAUUUCUGUGGGGACGGAGCGGCCGGCCGCUACUAGCGGUUCGAGCUAGCGCUUUCCCUACAUCCUGCCGCGAACCGUGCUACCAUUAGUUUGGUGGCGCCGGGGAUCGGCUCGUUUACUUUGAGAAAAAUAGAGUGUUCAAAGCAGGCCACACGCCUUUGAAUAAGUUAGCAUGGAAUAAUAACUAAGGACUUCGGUUCUAUU
rnacentral:rRNA from 1 species